rnacentral:tRNA from 1 species
GGAGGCAUAGCUCAGUUGGUUAGAGCGCUACGUUGACAUCGUAGAGGUCAUAGAUUCGAGUUCUAUUGUCUCCACCA